GAUGAACGCUAGCUUCAGGCUUAACACAUGCAAGUCGAGGGGCAGCAUUAUCGAAGCUUGCUUUGAUAGAUGGCGACCGGCGCACGGGUGAGUAACGCGUAUCCAACCUUCCCCAUAGUCAGGAAUAGCCCGGCGAAAGUCGAAUUAAUGCCUGAUGUUUUCCACGGACGGCAUCUGAUGUGGAACAAAGAUUCAUCGCUAUGGGAUGGGGAUGCGUCUGAUUAGCUUGUUGGCGGGGUAACGGCCCACCAAGGCAACGAUCAGUAGGGGUUCUGAGAGGAAGGCCCCCCACAUUGGAACUGAGACACGGUCCAAACUCCUACGGGAGGCAGCAGUGAGGAAUAUUGGUCAAUGGGCGGAAGCCUGAACCAGCCAAGUCGCGUGAGGGAAGACGGUCCUACGGAUUGUAAACCUCUUUUUAGUCGGGGAGUAACGUGCGGACGCGUCCCGUAUUCGAGAGUACCCGAAGAAAAGCAUCGGCUAACUCCGUGCCAGCAGCCG
rnacentral:rRNA from 1 species